rnacentral:rRNA from 1 species
UACGUAGGGUGCAAACAUUAUCCGGAUUUAUUGGGCGUAAAGCGCUCGUAGGUGGAUUAGAAAGUCAGAUAUUAAAUAUCCCGGCUCAACUGGGAGCGUGUAUCUGAAACUCCUAGUCUUGAGGUAUGUAGGGGAAGAUGGAACACACGGUGUAGCAGUGAAAUGCGUAGAUAUCGUGUGGAACGCCAAUGGUGAAGACAGUCUUCUGGACAUUACCUGACACUGAGGAGCGAAAGCGUGGGGAG